GUAGGGAAUAUUGGGCAAUGGAUGCAAGUCUGACCCAGCCAUCCCGCGUGCCGGAAGAAGGCCCUCAGGGUUGUAAACGGCUUUUGACGGUGAAGAAUCGACAGGAUGCGUCCUGUUUUGACGGUAGCCGUUGAAUAAGCACCGGCUAACUCCGUGCCAGCAGCCGCGGUAAUACGGAGGGUGCGAGCGUUGUCCGGAUUUAUUGGGUUUAAAGGGUGCGUAGGCUGGAAGGUCAGUCAGCGGUGAAAAGCUGUCGCUUAACGAUAGUCUUGCCGCAGAUACUUCCUAUCUUGGAUGAGGAGGAGGCCACUGGAACGGAUGGUGUAGCGGUGAAAUGCAUAGAUAUCAUCCAGAACACCGAUUGCGAAGGCAGGUGGCUGUACCUUAAUCGACGCUGAUGCACGAAAGCAUGGGGAGCAAACAGGAUUAGAUACCCUUGUAGUCC
rnacentral:rRNA from 1 species